GGCUCAGGAUGAACGCGGGCGGCGUGCCUAAUACAUGCAAGUCGAACGAGGAUGUAGCAAUACGUCCUAGUGGCGAACGGGUGAGUAACGAGUUGGUGACCUGCCCCGAAGUGUGGGAUAACAGUCCGAAAGGAUUGCUAAUACCGCAUGUGAUCAUUGGUUUUAGAAUCUGAUGAUUAAAGCAGUGAUGCGCUUCGGGAGGGACCUGCUUCCCAUCAGCUAGUUGGUGAGGUAACGGCCCACCAAGGCGUCGACGGGUAAGGGGCCUGAGAGGGUGGCCCCUCACAAUGGAACUGAAACACGGUCCAUACACCUACGGGUGGCAGCAGUAGGGAAUAUUGGUCAAUGGGCGAAAGCCUGAACCAGCAACGCCGCGUGUACGAUGAAGGCCUUCGGGUCGUAAAGUACUUUUCUGAGAGAUGAGCAAGGACAGUAUCUCAGGAAUAAGCCUCGGCUAACUACGUGCCAGCAGCCGCGGUAAAACGUAGGAGGCAAGCGUUAUCCGGAUUUACUGGGCGUAAAGCGUGUGUAGGCGGUUCGGCAAGUUGGAUGUGAAAGCUCCUGGCUUAACUAGGAGAGGUCGUUCAAUACUACCGAACUUGAGGUCAUCAGAGGAAGGUGGAAUUCCCGGUGUAGUGGUGAAAUGCGUAGAUAUCGGGAGGAACACCAGUGGCGAAAGCGGCCUUCUGGGAUGAUCCUGACGCUCAGACACGAAAGCUAGGGUAGCAAACGGGAUUAGAGACCCCGGUAGUCCUAGCAGUAAACGAUGUAGACUUGGCGUCGGAGGGUUCAAAACCUUCGGUGUCGAAGCUAACGCGAUAAGUCUACCGCCUGGGGACUACGGCCG
rnacentral:rRNA from 1 species